ACGAACGCUGGCGGCGUGCUUAACACAUGCAAGUCGAACGGUGACGAUUGGAGCUUGCUCCGGUCUGAUCAGUGGCGAACGGGUGAGUAACACGUGAGUAACCUGCCCCAGACUCUGGAAUAACCCCGGGAAACCGGAGCUAAUACCGGAUACGAAACGGAGCCGCAUGGCUACUGUUUGGAAAGUUUUUCGGUCUGGGAUGGACUCGCGGCCUAUCAGCUUGUUGGUGAGGUAAUGGCUCACCAAGGCGACGACGGGUAGCCGGCCUGAGAGGGCGACCGGCCACACUGGGACUGAGACACGGCCCAGACUCCUACGGGAGGCAGCAGUGGGGAAUAUUGCACAAUGGGCGAAAGCCUGAUGCAGCGACGCCGCGUGAGGGAUGACGGCCUUCGGGUUGUAAACCUCUUUCAGCAGGGAAGAAGCGAAAGUGACGGUACCUGCAGAAGAAGCACCGGCUAACUACGUGCCAGCAGCCGCGGUAAUACGUAGGGUGCGAGCGUUGUCCGGAAUUAUUGGGCGUAAAGAGCUUGUAGGCGGUUUGUCGCGUCUGCUGUGAAAUUUCGGGGCUCAACCCCGAACUUGCAGGUGGGUACGGGCAGACUAGAGUGUGGUAGGGGAGACUGGAAUUCCUGGUGUAGCGGUGAAAUGCGCAGAUAUCAGGAGGAACACCGAUGGCGAAGGCAGGUCUCUGGGCCACUACUGACGCUGAGAAGCGAAAGCAUGGGGAGCGAACAGGAUUAGAUACCCUGGUAGUCCAUGCCGUAAACGUUGGGAACUAGGUGUGGGUCUCAUUCCACGAGAUCCGUGCCGCAGCUAACGCAUUAAGUUCCCCGCCUGGGGAGUACGGCCGCAAGGCUAAAACUCAAAGGAAUUGACGGGGGCCCGCACAAGCGGCGGAGCAUGCGGAUUAAUUCGAUGCAACGCGAAGAACCUUACCAAGGCUUGACAUAUACCGGAAACAUCUAGAGAUAGGUGCCCCGCAAGGUCGGUAUACAGGUGGUGCAUGGUUGUCGUCAGCUCGUGUCGUGAGAUGUUGGGUUAAGUCCCGCAACGAGCGCAACCCUCGUUCUAUGUUGCCAGCACGUUAUGGUGGGGACUCAUAGGAGACUGCCGGGGUCAACUCGGAGGAAGGUGGGGAUGACGUCAAAUCAUCAUGCCCCUUAUGUCUUGGGCUUCACGCAUGCUACAAUGGCCGGUACAAAGGGCUGCGAAACCGCGAGGUGGAGCGAAUCCCAAAAAACCGGUCUCAGUUCGGAUUGGGGUCUGCAACUCGACCCCAUGAAGUCGGAGUCGCUAGUAAUCGCAGAUCAGCAACGCUGCGGUGAAUACGUUCCCGGGCCUUGUACACACCGCCCGUCAAGUCACGAAAAUCGGUAACACCCGAAGCCGGUGGCCCAACUCUUUGAGAGGGAGCCGUCGAAGGUGGGACUGGCGAUUGGGACU
rnacentral:rRNA from 1 species